rnacentral:tRNA from 1 species
UGCCCGGUCGUCCAAUGGCAGGACAGCUGACUCUGGAUCAGUCGAUGAGGGUUCGAAUCCUUCCCGGGCAACCA